CAAAUCUAAAACUGAAAAUAUCUUGCAGUUACGAAGCAAAGAAGAUGCCUACCCUCUCUUCAAUAAAAUUAUGAACCAUCAAAGGUUUCAAAACAUUCAAAUAUUGCAUUGAUGAUGUACAUGCAAAAUAAAGACCCAAAAGAAAUGAUAAGCUAGAACUUACUAGGGAAGUAUUUGAUAUCUCAAAUCAGUAUUUACAAGAUAAAUAUGUUCCAGGUUCACAUGUGACAGUCGAUGAGAAGUUACUUUUAGUUUUUAGAAGCAUAUUGUUCACUCAUUGAUUGUGGAGUUGGAGAAAAUUUGUUUUGGAUAUCUUAUCUGAAGACAGUGACAUUUCCCAAAUUUCCUUUGUCAUUAGAGUCUGAAGUGCUUGCUAUCCAUCUUUGCCUUGGUCUUCAGGUUCAUCUAAUAAUUGUGAAAUGUCUCCUUUGUCAAUUUUCUUUUGUCCUAUUAUGGGUAGGAAAUAAAAAGUUCUGAGUUUUUAACUGUAUUCAUUGAAAACUAAAAGCAUAUGAAGAGGAUCAGGAUAUGCCAUCCAAUUAUGUGCCACUUUGACAUAAAGAUUAGUUUGAACAGAAGGCAGUUGAGACUCAACAGAUAGAGUUUUUUUGCCCUCCCAUUGUCUGCCUAAAGUAGAGCAUACAUUUCCUUUUGUGUCAUACCCUUUUCCGCAUACCAGGAAGGAAAGAGAAACUCUUACCUUCUGAGAUGCAGAGUUGAUACUGAGAUGAGUUUGCAUAAACAGACCUAACUAAAAUAACCCUUAUCUUUCAUUAUAGUUCAUUAUUUUUUACAUAUUUCCUAGUUAGAACUUCCCUAUGAUUUGUCUCUCAAAGCUCAAAUCCUCUUUCCUUUAAAAUGGUAUAUAAGCCCCUGAGCCUAACUGCUUCUUUGAGUUUUACCCCUCUUGAGUGAACUCUGAGGUAUGUAAACAUUAAUAAAAAUUAUGUGCUUUUUCUGUCUUUUGUUAGUUCAAGUUGAAGAUCCCCAGCUACUGCAACCUAAAAGGGUUGAAGUAAAGUUUUUCCUCCCAACACAGACCACAAAGAUGAUGUCUUCAGUCUUCUAUACCUUUCAUUUUUUUGAAAGAAAAUCUGAUUGAGCUCACUAAUUUGGAGGAUUGUUUUGCCUAUAGUGGAGGAAAAAAACCCUUUCCUUUAUCCUUAGGUUAAGUGCUUAGGACCUGCAAAUUAACAGAAGAAAAAAUUCCACAUAUAAUUGAGAUCAUGUGAUACUUGUCUC